rnacentral:snRNA from 1 species
AGCUUUGCGCAGUGGCAGUAUCGUAGCCAAUGAGGUUUAUCUGAGGCACAAUUAUUGCUAAUUGAAAACUUUCCCCAAUACCCUGCCAUGACAACUUGCAACAUGCUCAGGAUUGGCAAUUUUUGAUAGUCCCUGUGGGA